CUGUCUUAGAUUAAAAACACAACAUUUAAACUACACACACGCAAGCGCACAUUUUAAUUACAAAAUUAUUUUUAUUAGAAUGUGUUCUACAAGAUGCAGUUCCAUAUUUCACAUAUCAAUAGUUUUCAUUUUAUAUCCUGCAUCGAUUUCAUUUUCAUUUGUGACAAUUUCUCUAAACUUUAUCACAGUACUACUAUGGUACAACCUACAAACAAAAAACUUUCCUAAAUGUUGAAGUGUUGAAGUCUUUAUUAACUAAAAUCUCUGAAUAUAAUUUACUCAAUAGUUUGAGUUGAACAUACCGAAAUAAAUGACUAAAACUCCAACAAUUAAUUUUGUCUGAAAUUUACAGUUAUAUUUAAGUUUUUCACUAAAAUAGGCUAAUUUAGUUUUUGACUAACCAAUUAUUAAUUUAAAAUACACUUAGCUAAUAUUUGUGAAAUUUCCAUCACAAUAUUUGAGACUGGAUAAUUAAACUGAUCUGUCUCAAGAACCACAAAUAUUUCUAAAAUAAAAUCAAUAUUAUUAUUUAACACGCAUAAGAAAUUAAUUAAGUUUACUCAAUUAAAAUGUAUUUUACUGUCUAUGAUUACAACAACGCACCCCUCCCCACCCUCUGACGUGACGACAACUCAACGGUUGAACUUGAGUGAGCGCUGUUUGAACUUGCGGUUGCGCGUUGUUUGAACUCUCCCAGUCCAGAAAAGAACAGAUCUCUUCUCUUCUCCUCUUCUCUUCUCAUCGGCGCAGAAUUGGAGCAUUUCCACCUGAAAUUAAGGUUAUGGAGUCAGUCGCGUCGCAGCAUUUUUCGGCUGUGAGUGACGCAGGACGGCGGUCUAAAUUUAGAAGUUUCCCCGCAGAGGCGAGUCCAUCUCCGGCAUGGGAACCAGCGCUGACCCGGUGAAUACUGGAUAACAGACCGGUUAUUACACUUGAAUUACUUUAAUGUUUAGGCCUAAAUGUUUAAUUUUUACAUCGAAAAUGUUUCUUACAUGAGUUUAGAUGUAGUCAAUAUUGUAUAACUUAUGUGUUAAAAAUAGAAUAAAAUAUGUUUGCUGUAAUGUUAGGAUAUUAAUUGACAAUAAAGGCCGUGUCAUGUAGUUAUGCUGGUGGUUGUAUGGAAUAUUUUACAAAGGUUUAGAGGAAAUAAAAAAAGUUAAUAUUACUGCCAUAUAAACACAGUUUAUAUUACUCAUAAUUAUUUGUUUUUAAAUGUUUCCCCCCAAUUAUUUCUACUCAAGUUUAUUUGUUAAUGUACCAAAUGCAGUUACUCAGAUCUAUUUAAUUUGUUUUACUAACAUUUACUCAGUUAAUAUAGUGUAAGUAAUUGCUUUCACUGCUUAAAAAUUUAAUCAAUAUUCUAAGUUUAAAAAGGUUAGUAAAUCAUAUUAAAUGUUUUUGAGUGCAUCAACACCAGAGUUCAUGUCACAUACUAAAACAUAUUCGAGCCAAUUUUAAUCACUGUUCUAGAAACAUAUUUGAUUCAACUUUGUUCAUUUGCAAUAAUAUGUUGUUGUUUUUUUAUGAAUUUUUUUCUUCUGCUGAACAAGAAGAAAGAUAUUUAUUUGGUACCGGUUUUGACAUUUUCUCACUAAAUAAAUUAUUGCGAUUUAAACAUGUAACGUUAUGUUUGUUGUUUUUAUUUAUAAUUGUAACGUUAGUUACAUAGUUUUAAGAAAUGGGUUAGGGUAGGAUUAGUGGCUCAAACUAUAUUUUAAUGCUUUAUUGUUAAUAAAACUGCCAUUGCCCUACACAUUAUG